UGCCAGCAGCCGCGGUAAUACGGAGGGGACUAGCGUUGUUCGGAAUUACUGGGCGUAAAGCGCACGUAGGCGGACUGAUCAGUUGGGGGUGAAAUCCCAGGGCUUAACCCUGGAACUGCCUCCAAUACUGUCAGUCUUGAGUUCGGAAGAGGUGAGUGGAAUUCCUAGUGUAGAGGUGAAAUUCAUAGAUAUUAGGAAGAACACCAGUGGCGAAGGCGGCUCACUGGUCCGAUACUGACGCUGAGGUGCGAAAGCGUGGGGAGCGAACAGGAUUAGAUA
rnacentral:rRNA from 1 species